AUGCCUGCUACAGGAUAUCGAAACAGUGUAGUACUGAGCUAUGGUUCAAGAAGUUAUGUCGUUUCCUCUUCUUCGAUAACUCGACUCUUUCUCCUUUCUCGCAAAUCCACGUCGUCGGUUGUCUCAACUUCACUGCCCUUCUUCUUCGAUCACUCGCAGCGCAAUCUUAUCCUCAUCGUCUCACUCUCAGUUCAACACAAUAGAGCCUCCUCCGAUUCAAACUCCAUCGUUCCUCUUUCUCUCAAUUUGUAUUCUCGUUUUGCUCUGACAAACACAUCGCCAUCAAAACACCACCGCCUUCUUCCGCUACAACGCUGGAGGUUUUUUUUUAUUCAAGUUUGGCGCAAGUUUUGGCAAGGGUUUUGGAACUGUUUUGGUUGGUAG